AGGCAAAGGUGGAAGGGCGCACGGUGGAUGCCUCGGCGCCAGGAGCCGACGAAGGGCGCGGCAAGCGGCGAAACGCCCCGGGGAGCCGCAAGCGGGCCGGGAUCCGGGGGUGCCCGAAUGGGGGAACCCGCCAGGGUGGAGCCCUGGCAUCCUGCGCUGAAUGCAUAGGCGCAGGAGGGCAACCGGGGGAACUGAAACAUCUUAGUACCCCGAGGAGAAGAAAGCAACCGCGAUUCCCCGAGUAGCGGCGAGCGAACGGGGAGGAGCCCAAACCGGACGGGAGUCCGGGGUUGUAGGACCGGGCCGCAUGGGAGUGACAAAGAGAGGGCGUAGGCGAACGGACCUGGAACGGUCGGCCGGAGAAGGUGAGAGCCCUGUAGCCGAAACGCUCUUUCCUCCUGGCCCGGCUCCUGAGUACCGCGGGACACGAGGAAUCUCGCGGGAAGCGGGGAGGACCACCUCCCAAGGCUAAAUACUCCCUGGCGACCGAUAGUGGAGGAGUACCGUGAGGGAACGGUGAAAAGCACCCCGGGAGGGGAGUGAAAGAGGACCUGAAACCGUGUGCCUACAAGCAGUCGGAGCCCGUCUAUGGGUGACGGCGUGCCUUUUGCAGAAUGAGCCGGCGAGUGACGCUUGCAUGCGAGGUUAAGGCCUUCAGGGCCGGAGCCGGAGCGAAAGCGAGUCUGAAGAGGGCGGGAGUAUGCAGGCGUCGACCCGAAACCGGGUGAUCUACCCAUGUCCAGGGUGAAGGUCGGAUAAAGCCGACUGGAGGCCCGAACCCACUGGUGUUGCAAAACCAGGGGAUGAGGUGUGGGUAGGGGUGAAAAGCCAACCGAACCCGGAGAUAGCUGGUUCUCCUCGAAAUCGCUUGAGGGCGAGCCUCAAGGGGAGCGCCUGGGAGGUAGAGCGCUGAUUGGGUGCGGGGCCCGCGAGGGCUACCAAGCCCUGUCAAACUGCGAAUGCCCGGGCGUGGUCCUUGGGAGUCAGACGGCGGGGGAUAAGCUUCGUCGUCGAGAGGGAAAGAGCCCAGACCGGCCGCUAAGGUCCCGGAGUUUGCGCUUAGUGGGGAACGAUGUGGCGCUGCGAAGACAACCAGGAUGUUGGCUUAGAAGCAGCCAUCAUUCAAAGAGUGCGUAAUAGCUCACUGGUCGAGUGGCGCUGCGCGGAAAAUGUAACGGGGCUAAGCGCGACACCGAAGCGCCGGGCACGAGGAGUGCGGUAGGGGAGCGUUCCCUGGGCGUAGAAGCGCGACCGGGAGGGCGCGUGGAGCGCAGGGAAGCGAGAAUGCCGGCGUGAGUAGCGAGAAGGUCGGUGAGAAUCCGACCCGCCGAAAGCCCAAGGGUUCCUGAGGAAGGCUCGUCCGCUCAGGGUAAGUCGGGGCCUAAGGCGAGGCCGCGAGGCGUAGCUGAUGGGAAACGGGUGGAGAAUCCCGUACCGCUCCCGGCCGUUUGAGCGACGGGGGACGCAGGGGUCCGAAGGCGCGCGCUGGACGGAAGAGCGCGUCCAAGCGGCGAGGGUGGCCCGCAGGCAAAUCCGCGGGCCGGAAGCCUGAGCCGUGACGGGGAGGGAAGACGAGUACCGAAGGCCUUCCGGAUCGCACUGCCGAGAAAAGCCUCUAGCGAGGCCUGGGAGUGCCCGUACCGGAAACCGACACAGGUGGGCGAGGAGAGGAUCCUCAGGCGCGCGAGCGAACUCCUGCUAAGGAACUCGGCAAAAUGGCCCCGUAACUUCGGGAGAAGGGGCGCCUGUCUUGAAGGCAGGCCGCAGAGAAGUGGCCCAGGCGACUGUUUAGCAAAAACACAGGUCUCUGCGAAGCCGUAAGGCGACGUAUAGGGGCUGACGCCUGCCCGGUGCUGGAAGGUUAAGGGGAAGGGUUAGGGUUUAGGCCCGAAGCUCUGAACCGAAGCCCCAGUAAACGGCGGCCGUAACUAUAACGGUCCUAAGGUAGCGAAAUUCCUUGUCGGGUAAGUUCCGACCCGCACGAAAGGCGUAACGACCUGGGCGCUGUCUCGGCAGGAGGCUCGGUGAAAUCGUAGUCCCUGUGAAGAUGCAGGGUACCCGCGACUAGACGGAAAGACCCCGUGGAGCUUUACUGCAGCCUGAUAUUGUCGUUUGCCGCCUUCUGUACAGGAUAGGUGGGAGCCUGGGAAGCGCCCUCGUCAGGGGGCGUGGAGGCGGCGGUGGGAUACCACCCUGGAGGCGGCGGACGACUCACCCGCGGCCGUGAGCCGGUCGGGGGACCGUGUCAGGUGGGCAGUUUGACUGGGGCGGUCGCCUCCUAAAGGGUAACGGAGGCGCCCAAAGGUCCCCUCAGCGCGGAUGGAAAUCGCGCGGAGCGUGCAAAGGCGAGAAGGGGGCUUGACUGCGAGACCGACGGGUCGAGCAGGGACGAAAGUCGGGCUUAGUGAUCCGGUGGUUCCGAGUGGAAGGGCCAUCGCUCAACGGAUAAAAGCUACCCCGGGGAUAACAGGCUGAUCUCCCCCAAGAGUCCACAUCGACGGGGAGGUUUGGCACCUCGAUGUCGGCUCAUCGCAUCCUGGGGCUGGAGCCGGUCCCAAGGGUUGGGCUGUUCGCCCAUUAAAGCGGUACGUGAGCUGGGUUCAGAACGUCGUGAGACAGUUCGGUCCCUAUCUGUCGCGGGCGGAGGAAAUUUGAGGGGAGUCGUCCCUAGUACGAGAGGACCGGGACGGACGCACCGCUGGUGUACCAGUUGUGCCGCCAGGCGCACCGCUGGGUAGCCAAGUGCGGACGGGAUAAGCGCUGAAAGCAUCUAAGCGCGAAGCCCACCCCAAGAUGAGAUUUCCCACCGGCUUGACCGGGUAAGACCCCUCGUAGACGACGAGGUCGAUCGGUCCGAGGUGGAAGCGCGGUAACGCGUGAAGCUGACGGAUCCGAAUCGGUCGAGGCUUUGUCUCC
rnacentral:rRNA from 1 species